AUGGGACCCACUUUGAGCACAGUCUCGUCUGGUCGAGGACCACCACUCCAUGAGCCAGCUCUUCAACAACCAGCCAGCCUCCCACCUGGCUGGUUACGAUCCUCCCCUGGGGACUCUGGAUCCGGGGCCUGUGGAGUUACUGUGGGAACACAAAUCGAGACCACGUUAGAGCCAACCUUCUGCCUCCGCCUUUCAACCUGACAGCUUUGGCCCACGGGCAUCCCCGACUGCAGGCUCUUGGGGAUCGUCACUGGGAUCCGAGCCUUCGAUGUCACUGUUUCUGACGUAUCACCGGUAUUGGCCUGACCCUGACGGGGAGACAGGCUUCCCCAGAUCUGUGGUAAGGA
rnacentral:lncRNA from 1 species